rnacentral:lncRNA from 1 species
UGUAAUGUCGGUUUGAACCAGAUCUAUACUAUUUCUGAGGGACUUCAAAGCAAUAUAGUUAUUCUUAUGGAUUAGGAUGUGACGAUGAAGCGAUAUAUUAGGAUACACUCUGAGAAGACCAGAAAGAAGCCCUUUUGAAUCUCGUCCCCUUUCUUGUCGUUUAAUCUCAAAGGCCAAAGCUAGAGAUUAGUUUGAAGAAUUAUGUUAUUCCAAAGCUGCUUUAUUUUUUAAAUCAUGGGGAAACUUUCACAAAGGUCGGUGAUAAAGUUUUCUUCAAAAGCAUUCUAAACUCUACCGAGAUUGUAGCAAGAGGAAGGGUCCAGAGCUUGGACCCAAAUGAUCUAGUUGGUGGUACAGAGAUUGGACCAGAAUGGUGUGAGGUAAACGUUCAAGUACCAAUAAAAAAUAUGAAAACUUGGUAAGACCAUAUGGUUUAUUUUCUACAAUUCAAGAUUGUAUUGGUGCAUCCAUCGCAUGGCCAUAUCCAUUCAUCUCAUCUCGGUAGUCCAUGAGGAUUGAGGACGCAUGAUGACUCAAGAUUUUAUACUUCUUAUUUCUUUAAUUGCUUUUAAUUUCUUUGUUAAAUGUUAAGACUUUAUGUUAGAUAAUGUUAUAACUUAUUUAUGGUUAGUGUUUUUGUUAUGAACAUGCUUAUUUGAAAUAUAAUGAAGUUUUAUUUCUU